rnacentral:rRNA from 1 species
AAGAUGGCGACCGGCGCACGGGUGAGUAACACGUAUCCAACCUGCCGAUAACUCCGGAAUAGCCUUUCGAAAGAAAGAUUAAUACCGGAUGGCAUACGAAUAUCGCAUGAUAUUUUUAUUAAAGAAUUUCGGUUAUCGAUGGGGAUGCGUUCCAUUAGUUUGUUGGCGGGGUGACGGCCCACCAAGACUACGAUGGAUAGGGGUUCUGAGAGGAAGGUCCCCCACAUUGGAACUGAGACACGGUCCAA